rnacentral:rRNA from 1 species
GGGCAGCAUGGUCUUAGCUUGCUAAGGCCGAUGGCGACCGGCGCACGGGUGAGUAACGCGUAUCCAACCUGCCUUACACUCUUGGACAGCCUUCUGAAAGGGAGAUUAAUACAAGAUGUUAUCAUGAGUAAGCAUUUUCGCAUGAUUAAAGGUUUACCGGUGUAAGAUGGGGAUGCGUUCCAUUAGAUAGUAGGCGGGGUAACGGCCCACCUAGUCUUCGAUGGAUAGGGGUUCUGAGAGGAAGGUCCCCCACAUUGGAACUGAGACACGGUCCAAACUCCUACGGGAGGCAGCAGUGAGGAAUAUUGGUCAAUGGACGAGAGUCUGAACCAGCCAAGUAGCGUGAAGGAUGAAGGUUCUAUGGAUUGUAAACUUCUUUUAUACGGGAAUAAACGGAUCCACGUGUGGAUUUUUGCAUGUACCGUAUGAAUAAGGAUCGGCUAACUCCGUGCCAGCAGCCGCGGUAAUACGGAGGAUCCGAGCGUUAUCCGGAUUUAUUGGGUUUAAAGGGAGCGUAGAUGGGUUGUUAAGUCAGUUGUGAAAGUUUGCGGCUCAACCGUAAAAUUGCAAUUGAUACUGGCAGUCUUGAGUACAGUUGAGGUAGGCGGAAUUCGUGGUGUAGCGGUGAAAUGCUUAGAUAUCACGAAGAACUCCGAUUGCGAAGG